AUUCGUCCAAGUGAAGCAGAGGACAGUGGCGGACGGGUGAAUAACGCGUGAGGAACCUGCCUUUCAGAGGGGGACAACAGUUGGAAACGACUGCUAAUACCGCAUGACAUAUCGGAAUCACAUGGUUUUGAUAUCAAAGAUUUUAUCGCUUGAAGAUGGACUCGCGUCCGAUUAGUUAGUUGGUGAGGUAACGGCUCACCAAGACCGCGAUCGGUAGCCGGACUGAGAGGUUGAACGGCCACAUUGGGACUGAGACACGGCCCAGACUCC
rnacentral:rRNA from 1 species